ACUACGGGAGGCAGCAGUGGGGGAUAUUGCACAAUGGGGGAAACCCUGAUGCAGCGACGCCGCGUGAGUGAAGAAGUAUUUCGGUAUGUAAAGCUCUAUCAGCAGGGAAGAAAAUGACAGUACUUGACCAAGAAGCUCCGGCUAACUACGUGCCAGCAGCCGCGGUAAUAGGUAGGGGGCAAGCGUUAUCCGGAUUUACUGGGUGUUAAGGGGGCGUAGACGGUUAUGUAAGUAUGGAGUGAAAGCCCGGGGCCCAACCCCGGGACUGCUUUGGAAACUGUGUAACUGGAGUACAGGAGAGGCAGGCGGAAGUCCUGGUGUAGCGGUGAAAUGCGUAGAUAUCAGGAGGAACACCGGCGGCGAAGGCGGCCUGCUGGACUGAAACUGACGUUGAGGCUCGAAAGCGUGGGGAGCAAACAGGAUUAGAUACCCUAGUAGUC
rnacentral:rRNA from 1 species